UUUCUAUCGACGCCGCCAAGAUGCCACCGAUGCCUCUGCCCUCGAAAUUCUUGAGAGGAUUGCGGCAAAUGGGGACAAUUCGGACUUGGACUUGUCAGACUCGGAAGAUUCCCCGGAUGGUGCAGAAGCGAAUGAGCAGUGCGACGGAAUUCUAGAUGAAGAGGAGCUGGAUUACCACUACGAUUCGGACACCGAUGUCGAUGACGGCGAUGACGUUGUUUCCAAUCCAGUCAUGCCUUCUCGCGAAAGGUGGCCUCGGAAGCAAGUAUACGCAUCUGUCCUUCCCGACUUACCUAAUGCACCGUCGUCUACGGCCGACGAAAGAGACGGCUGGUAUGCAAAUAGGUACUACUCAAGAUACAUGGAUGACCAGGCUUUCGAACUUCUCCACGAAAUGACAGAAGUAUCGUACCUCCAGCGCACAGGACGGUCGUUAAACUCAUCUCCUGGGGAAAUGAAGGUAUUCCUUGGAGCUACAUUGCUCAUGAGCUGCUUGGGUUAUCCUCGAGCGAGAAUGUAUUGGAGCCAAGGAACUCGUGUCGCCGCCGUAGCCGACAA
rnacentral:lncRNA from 1 species